GUGGUUUUGGCUCAGUGGUAGAGUGCUUGCCUAGCACACAUGAGGUACUGGGUUCAUUCCCCAGUACCACA
rfam:Ictidomys tridecemlineatus contig096569, whole genome shotgun sequence.